CGCGCACCCACCGAUAGAGGUCUUGAGCCGCUCCUGCCAUGCUCCGCGACCUCGGGGACAGAACCUUCCCCAAACCCGGCGAGGGCAGAGGCUCCAAGGUCCGCCACAGCUUGCGCAGGCGCGCGUCCUCUUCUGUGCCCGGGACUGCGCUGCGCUCCCGGGGUGCGGACCCGAGACCCUCCCGCGAGUCCCGGCCGCAUCCGAUGCUGCGGGUAGUACGGCCUGAGCUCGGCGGGCCUGGGCCUCUGGCCUAACGAAGCUGGCGCCACAGUUCUGGACUCAGGCCUGAGUCUCUGACCUGCACCAUUUCUUCCCCUCUGCGAAACACUUUGCAAGGAUGUUCUGCUGAUAACAGUCAUUUCCUACCUUUACAUCAGAGAAAAUCUUUUCUCCUUUACUCUCAGAGGAUAGCUUUGCUGAGGAUUACAUUCUAAAUUGAUGAGGUGUUUUUCCAACCUUUUAAACAUGACUCUCAUCUUCCUGGUGCCAUCUCUGUGUAGAAGCAUGAUCCGUGGCCUGUCCUGUAGUAAGAUGCGUCUCCCCAGCUUCUCGCUGGCUCCUCUCUUUGCCUUUUGUUUCCUUCAGUGCAGUUC
rnacentral:lncRNA from 1 species